CUCUUAACCAGGAGGAAGAGGAACUGAAAGAAGAGAAAACAGAUCUAAGAGAGAUUCAAGGAGGAGCUAAGAUGUCCCUGAACUAUAGAAGAGAGAGGAACUCUAUUCAACACAAUACACAAACCAUCAACAUCACCUUUACUCAACAUGCUGGCAUUAGACUAUUAUUUACUUUCCCUACUGUCAUUUGGCUUUCUAAGAGGGGUCAGCUGUGAAGACCUCAGUCCAGUCAACAAAGAAGUGUCCAGUUUAGAAGACAGCACUGUAACUCUGUCCUACAAAUACUCCAAACUAUCAUCUAGCAAUUAUUUCUUCUGGUAUCGACAAUAUCCAGGAAAACCACCAGAGUUCCUCAUCUCACACUAUGCUUCAGGUGACAGACUCUGCUGUGUACUACUGUGCUCUGAGGCC